rnacentral:misc_RNA from 1 species
UCGUACAACGGAGGUGCGAGGGCUGUCGCUGACCUUUGAAGGUUGUGCACGCCCGAGCCCUCUCGCAAUCCAUCUCACCCUUUGUGCACCACCGCGUGGGUCCCCCUUUGCGGGGAGGGCUCGCGUUUUCACAUAAAACUCGAUACAGUAUAGAACGUUUAUUUUUGCGGUCACACGCGAUCAAUA